AGCAGCCGCGGUAAUUCCAGCUCCAAUAGCGUAUAUUAAAGUUGUUGCAGUUAAAAAGCUCGUAGUUGAAUUUCGGGAUUGACACAUCGGUCGUGCCUUAAGGGGUAUGAACUGGUGUAGUCAAUUUCUCACCUUCUGGAGAACCGCGAUGCCCUUAAUUGGGUGUCGCGGGGAACCAGGACCUUUACUUUGAAAAAAUUAGAGUGUUUAAAGCAGGCAUUUUGCUUGAAUACAUUAGCAUGGAAUAAUAAAAUAGGACGGCAUGAUUCUAUUUUGUUGGUUUCUAGGAUCACCGUAAUGAUUAAUAGGGAUAGUUGGGGGCAUUAGUAUUCAAUUGUCAGAGGUGAAAUUCUUGUAUUUAUUGAAGACUAACUACUGCGAAAGCAUUUGCCAAGGAUGUUUUCAUUAAUCAAGAACGAAAGUUAGGGAUCGAAGACGAUCAGGUACCGUCGUAGUCUUAACCAUAAACUAUAGCCGACUAGGGAUCGGAUGAUGUUUAAUUUUUAAUGUACUUCAUUCG
rnacentral:rRNA from 1 species